rnacentral:rRNA from 1 species
UCAUAUGCUUGUCUCAAAGAUUAAGCCAUGCAUGUCUAAGUAUAAGCAAUCUAUACGGUGAAACUGCGAAUGGCUCAUUAAAUCAGUUAUCGUUUAUUUGAUAGUACCUUACUACUUGGAUACCUGUGGUAAUUCUAGAGCUAAUACAUGCUAAAAACCUCGACUUCGGAAGGGGUGUAUUUAUUAGAUAAAAAACCAAUGCCCUUCGGGGCUCCUUGGUGAUUCAUAAUAACUUAACGAAUCGCAUGGCCUUGAGCCGGCGAUGGUUCAUUCAAAUUUCUGCCCUAUCAACUUUCGAUGGUAGUAUAGAGGACUACCAUGGUUUCUACGGGUAACGGGGAAUUAGGGUUCUAUUCCGGAGAGGGAGCCUGAGAAACGGCUACCACAUCCAAGGAAGGCAGCAGGCGCGCAAAUUACCCAAUCCCGACACGGGGAGGUAGUGACAAUAAAUACUGAUCCAGGGCUCUUUUGGGUCUUGGAAUUGGAAUGAGUACAAUUUAAAUCCCUUAACGAGGAACAAUUGGAGGGCAAGUCUGGUGCCAGCAGCCGCGGUAAUUCCAGCUCCAAUAGCGUAUAUUAAAGUUGUUGCAGUUAAAAAGCUCGUAGUUGAAACUUGGGCCUGGCUGACCGGUCCGCCUCACCGCGUGCACUGGCUCGGCCGGGCCUUUCCUUCUGGGGAACCGCAUGGCCUUCAUUGGUCGUGUUGGGGAUCCAGGACUUUUACUUUGAAAAAAUUAGAGUGUUCAAAGCAGGCCUAUGCUCGAAUACAUUAGCAUGGAAUAAUAGAAUAGGACGUGUGGUUCUAUUUUGUUGGUUUCUAGGACCGCCGUAAUGAUUAAUAGGGAUAGUCGGGGGCAUCAGUAUUCAAUUGUCAGAGGUGAAAUUCUUGGAUUUAUUGAAGACUAACUACUGCGAAAGCAUUUGCCAAGGAUGUUUUCAUUAAUCAGUGAACGAAAGUUAGGGGAUCGAAGACGAUCAGAUACCGUCGUAGUCUUAACCAUAAACUAUGCCGACUGGGGAUCGGACGGUGUUAUUAUUUUGACCCGUUCGGCACCCUACGAGAAAUCAAAGUUCUUUGGGUUCUGGGGGGAGUAUGGUCGCAAGGCUGAAACUUAAAGAUAUUGACGGAAGGGCACCACCAGGCGUGGAGCCUGCGGCUUAAUUUGACUCAACACGGGGAAACUCACCAGGUCCAGACACAAUAAGGAUUGACAGAUUGAGAGCUCUUUCUUGAUUUUAUGGGUGGUGGUGCAUGGCCGUUCUUAGUUGGUGGAUUGAUUUGUCUGCUUAAUUGCGAUAACGAACGAGACCUUAACCUGCUAAAUAGCCAGGUCAGCUUUGGCUGGCCGCCGGCUUCUUAGAGGGACUAUCGGCUCAAGCCGAUGGAAGUUUGAGGCAAUAACAGGUCUGUGAUGCCCUUAGAUGCUCUGGGCCGCACGCGCGCUACACUGACAGAGACAACGAGUUCAUCUCCUUGACCGGAAGGUUUGGGUAAUCUUGUUAAACUCUGUCGUGCUGGGGAUAGAGCAUUGCAAUUAUUGCUCUUCAACGAGGAAUGCCUAGUAAGCGCGAGUCAUCAGCUCGCGUUGAUUACGUCCCUGCCCUUUGUACACACCGCCCGUCGCUACUACCGAUUGAAUGGCUCAGUGAGGCCUUCGGACUGGCCCAGAGAGGUCGGCAACGACCACUCCGGGCCGGAAAGUUGGUC